GGAGGACUCCCGGAGGAGGGGGCUGAAUGUUUUGACGACAUAUGUUACAGAAUUUAUAUUACUUCAUUGAUUGGCAAUUAGUUGUAAUCUGAAAGUGUCAAUCAAUGCAUGCGAGUAAAACGGUGACCAUAAAUUAAAGUAACAAAGUUGCUUGUCAAAUUUUCCUAACAAGCAACAUUUAUUUUUUAAAUAAGCCCAAAAAAACGCAACCCGCGACUUAUGAUUUUUUACCGCAACUUGAUAAAAAAACAAGCCCAAAGUCGCGGAUUAUAAGCGGACUUGGAAACUAUGUCUCCUGUCCUCCUUUCCUGCCUGGAAUGCUGCACACACACACACAACCCCCACAUCCUGUUGAAAAUUCCGUUUUGCACUAAUAUUCUCCCUUAACUCUGAGACCCUACUCAACAUAGUAAAAUAAUGCAAUGUUAUAUUAGGUAAGCCGUAAUAAUCAUAUGAAAAAACACACACAGAAAAUGCAAUAGAUAUAAACCCUUAGAUAAAACAUAUAGAACCCAGAUAAAAUAUAUAAAACCCUUCACUUAGGAAAACAUCACUGACCUUAACUGAUGGGAAAAUAGUAAAAGAGCGUCUGAAGGCAAACAGGUUUAGAAGGAAAAUAAAUUGAUGAACUAAUUUAAAGAGUAGGUAGCAUGAGAUCAUGAAUAGACAUUUCAUGCAGUCUGUUAUGUUGCCGUGUUUGAAAGUAAGCUGUCUGCCAAGUUGUAAGUCCGAAGGUGAAUAAAAAACAAAGUUAUUUGCUUGUAAAAAUGGGAGUCGACUCUGAAUCACACAAACGAGACGUGGACUAGUUCACCCGUGUAUCUACGUCACUAGACAUAGUCCCCGCCUACGUUUUGCUGAGACUGACGUGAAAACGUAAUUCUCCUCCCCCAAACACUGUCGCUCAUUCGUGAUGCGUGUGUAUCAUGUCUAGAACCUGUGUUCAUGUCCGUCUUAUUUUAACUACCAAAGGAAGAAUGUCUGAAGGAAAAAUGGUUACAAUUCAUUUUUCAAACGAUACCAAAGGAUUAUAACCCCGGGGUUUAACCGUGCGCGCGUCAUUUCACCGAAGAUUGCUUUAAUAAUAUUGGCGCAUUCAGUGCAGGAUAUGUGAAACGACUAUCCUUGAAAGAAGGGGCAAUGGCAACUUUAUUUGGACCUGUUAGCCCCACCGAAUCACAACCUCCUUUCUCUUCUUCCCGUUUGGAUGCACUUUUGUCCGUGUUUUGCACCGUUUGUCUGUAUCCAUCAUCUCAGGAGUCAGUCCUGCCGGUACACAUACAUCAAGGUUAAUUUCAAAGGUUUACCUGUAACCUGCUGUCCUGCUAAAUGGUGUGCAUCUCCUUAAGGGGACAGACAUAUCAUCAAAGACUACCUCGCUGUUAAACCCGAAUGGAUCAUCCUGACAUGGAACUGAAAUCUGCAUAAAGUUGUAAUACAAUCUUUAGCUGCCUGCUCUACAAUGAUAGCUUCAUUGUUUAUGUAAAGAUAUUGUGUGCUCUGUAAUUUACAUACUUUUUCAGUAUCUUUACACUGAACAGGUACCUGUAAAUAAAAUUCAUGCUCAUUAUGCUCCUGAAAAUAGUAAACUGUACAGUGCUCACUCAAAAUAGUGAGCACUGUACAAAGAUUAACAUGUUUGUACAGGGAUAUCCAAAACUCAAGGAUACUAACAAAAUGUUAAAAACAGGCACAAUGCUUUUCAACAAUUCGUCUCCACAAACGAAUCAUGCAUUUAAACGUACUAAAUGACUAAAAUCACUAAGACAUGCAAACAUGACCUCAGCACAAUGAAUUAAUAUUUUGCUAAUUCAUGUAAAGUUAACCGGGAUUUGCACUUUUCCGAUGGACACGCGGUUGGCCCUGCGUCCUACCUAACUGUAGUCAAAAACGUACGAUCUGAAUUAACCAGAUAGUGAUCUAUCUCUGUCAACACAUUUUCACUGUAUGAUGUAAAUCAAUCAAAUAAUUUCCCUCAAUCGAAUCAACAUCCUCAAAACUAAAAUUAAUCUUUGAGUAAAUCCAUGAGCAACACAAGCUAAUGUUAACACGCUAACAUCAAAACUAUUUAUAAAACACUGGUCCUCAAUACCAGUAUUAUAUCGUAUGUGUCAAUUUUUACGUUCCACGGAAUAUUUUUUUCUUGUUUGUAUAAAGUUUGCAUAAAUAAAAAUUACCCUCUCUAUUCCAACACCUGCACGUGUCAUUGCUGAAGCCUUUCACAGUAAAACGAAAGUAUGUAUGUCGCAUCCGGGUGUUUCCACCGUCAUUGAAAAAUUAAUCAUUUGUUUUUAAACUUUCUUGUUCUGACUCAAAACAAAAAUAUAGUUAUACAUUUCAUGCAGUCACCUUCCUAGCUGCAUGGUUUCAUUUCCUUUUGGUUUAUUAAGUAUGGAAAGUACGAAUAUGGCAUUUCUCACACUUCCCACAUUUACAUUUUAACUUAAAAUACGUAUUUGUAUAGAACAGUAUUACACAUUGUGAAACUUUGGUUUGUUUUGCACAAUGAGCAUGAAUUAUCAUAAGAAUUAUACGAUUACUUUUAGAGUGUAUUUCUGCAUUGAAAAAUUCUGUGAAAAAUACCAGAUCCAUGUCAAAAUCUAUGUGUCAGAAACAAAUUAGAUUUUCUCAAGGUUUCUCAUCACCACAAGGUGAUGAUAUUGCACUACAAAAGACAAGGCAUGAUCACAACAAUAAAUCAUCUUUAUUUUCCUUAAUAGACAUGUUUGAACAAAAGGAAUGAUAUUUGGUUUUUUCUCAAGUAUUGGCCAGGGUUUGGAUUUUGUUUUUUUAUUGUUGGAACAGCAACCCAACAAAAGCCAUUCAAAAACAGACUGUUUUGUACAGUGUCUACAACUACCUACUACCUCCACAAGAGGGCGAUACAUAAGAGUAACUCAAUAAGAGUCCACAUCAUACAGCUCUUCCCAGGAAGUGCUUAGGGAGAGGUUUACUCACA